rnacentral:misc_RNA from 1 species
UGAUCGUAAAUUGACAAGUAACUUCCCUGCCGCUCUUGAAGGUCAGCAAGGUUACGUGACAACGCUCCAACAACAGCUCCAACACCCACAUGCUUGAAGACCUGCUGUAGCUGAGAAUAUGGGUGAUUCGAUCUACUUGUCACAUAGUAAUCAGUAAAUCUGUAGCCGAAACGCUUGUCAAACUUCUUCAAAAUUUUCCGAAUGCCAGUCGCAUUGAG